GCAACUCGCCUGCAUGAAGUUGGAAUUGCUAGUAAUCGCGAAUCAGAAUGUCGCGGUGAAUACGUUCCCGGGCCUUGUACACACCGCCCGUCACACCAUGAGAGUCGAUAACACCCGAAGCCUGUGAGCUAACCGCAAGGGGCAGCAGUCGAAGGUGGGGUUGAUGAUUGGGGUGAAGUCGUAACAAGGUAAC
rnacentral:rRNA from 1 species